GUGCAAUUUCUCACUUUCCCAUACAGAGCAGUCACUGUCACAUAAACAGCCUGAAAAGUGAAAUAAAUUGUGUUUAAUCAAAAAAUGAGAUCUGCCCUGCUAGGAAUAUGUGAGUCCACUGCUUCAUCUAUUCUUUUUCUUGCCUGGAGGAUUUACUGUAUCUCCAAACUCCUGCUGCUGCCUCAGGAAGUGCCAUGAAGAAAGACAACAACACGUAUCCAGGCAGUGAGAAGAACUUGGCCAAUGAGGCAGAGAACAUCUAUAUUGAACUGAGAAUACUUAAAUACUUUUAUGAACUCAAAUCCCUGCAGGAGCAGAAGACAGGACAACAGCCCGAGGGUUGGAGGGCAUCUGCCAGAGCUCUACUGCUUGUCUGGGUCUCUGUAAUAAGAACAACUCUGUUUUCCCAGCACUGUACAUAUGCUUCCACCUUGCAUGUUGUGUUUUCUCAAGACCAUGAGAGGCAGACCUGUAUGAAGACCAAACACCUCCAAGAGACAGAGCUGGUCCAUUAUUACUCUUAAGAACCACAUGUCAGUGAUCUAGGAGAAAGUAAGAGGGUGAGUCAUGCUGCCAACCAAAAAGAGCACAAAAAGGCAAAGCAUGAGUGUAACCUGAAAUGACAUGGAGACGUGCAGUGGUUUGCUUCUAUCUCUCCAUAGCAGCUUCCAGAAGUACAGUCAUGCCAAAAUGAAUAUCAGCAGUACUGGCACUCGUAGCAUUCCUUCUUGGGGCAAAGGCUUGCUUGCUGAUGUGACAGCUGUGCUCUCUGGCAUGAGCUUUUGUUUGGCUGGGGGGCUGCUGGAUUUGGGAGUCAGGGAGCUGGGAGCACUCAAAAAUAUGCCCUAUUUCUUGAAUUUGUUGCAUAGUCCCUGCAAAGUAACACAGCAAACCUUGCACAAAGACAGGAAAAGACCUUUAUGCAC
rnacentral:lncRNA from 1 species